GAUCUGUUUGACCCUGCCAGACUGGUCGGCUAGUUCGGAAGCCUAAGCCAUGCAAUUUGGGCAACCUGUUGAACUCUGUCUCGAGACGGAGGGCAGGGAGCAGGCCACUGCUGCGUUAGAUCAUGGUAACGUAUGCACAAGGACGGUAUAUCCGCGGGAAACUGCGGGCAAUAUCGAAUGGGCCGGUGAACACAGUAAGUGUGUAGGCUGUGUGCGUCGAGUACGAACCCAUCAGGUAGAUGGCAGUGUUAUGAACUACCGUGCCAGUAACGGGCACGGGGAAUUGGAGUACGAUUCCACAGAGAAAGGCUGAGAGACAGCUUUCAGAGCCAAGGCAAGCGGCAGGUGCGAAACCUGUCCAAUGGAGGAUCGCCGCGAAGGUUAAAGACCCUCCUUUGUCAUUCGCGGAAAAGGAAGAGAUGGUCUUAGAGAGACCGACGAACGCAACCUGUGCUAAACUCUGGUGCCAGCAGGCGCGGUAAUACCAGGACAGCGAGUCUACCAGGGUUACUGAGAUUAAAGGUUCCUAGUCGUUACUGCGUAGCAGCGAGGGACCGCGCUUAAACUUGGGUGCUCAAGAAAUAGAGUGUGCGCGAGAUCGCUUCUCCUCCGCGGAGGAAACAAGGAGAAACCAGACGCGAGGUGGAAUUCGUUGACCCGGUCAGGAAUACCAGUGUCGAAAGCGCCUCGAGAGGGUUUGCUCCUCGACCGAGAACCAAAGUUGGAGUAUCGAUAACAAUUAGACACGGUUGUAGUCUCAACAACAAACGUUGCCGACAGUUUGUGGGGCGGUACGUUUUCAGACGAGUCGGCUCCGCGGACAAUGCGAAAACCUAGUCACCGGGUCGCUUGGAGAGUAUGCUGGCAACAGUGAAAUUUAAAGGAAUUGACGGAGCCUUCCACAAGAACAGGAAAAUACGGUUCAAUUUGAUUGUAGAUGGUCUUUAGCAAUUCUUGC
rnacentral:rRNA from 1 species